rnacentral:misc_RNA from 1 species
GGAGAUUUUAAGGAAGUGGUUGAGUGGGCACUUCCAGAACCAGUGGUAAUAAGAAAUUUUAAGCCAACAGUGGGCACUGAAACUACUUUAGACGAGGCAUGGAGUUGUCUCAUGGGAGAUCAAGUGGAAAUUCUAAGCAUGUAUGGUAUGGGAGGAGUAGGCAAAACUACCAUCCUGACUCAAAUCAACAACAGAUUUGCCUUUGCACUCAAUGAUUUUGAUGUUGUGAUUUGGGUUAUUGUUUUUAAAGAUCUAAGCCUGAGAAGAUUCAAGAGCAGAUUUGAAAAAAAAUGACUUUUUUGAUGAGAAAUGGGAAAAGAAAAGCAUCGGUAAGAAAGAGGACAUAUUCCAUGUAUUGAGCGGAAAGAAAUUUGUAUUAUUGUUAGAUGACAUAUGGCAGCGAGUUGAACUAGGAGAAAUUGGGGUUGCUUUAGCUACAAGAAAAAACAGAUGCAAGAUAGUAUUCA